AUGCACGCUGGCGGUAUGCUUAACACAUGCAAGUCGAACGGACUCUUCGGAGUUAGUGGCGGACGGGUGAGUAACGCGUGAGAAUCUGGCUUUGGGUUCGGGACAACCACUGGAAACGGUGGCUAAUACCGGAUGUGCCGAGAGGUAAAAGAGAAAUUGCCUGAAGAUGAGCUCGCGUCUGAUUAGCUAGUUGGUGAGGUAAAGGCUCACCAAGGCAGCGAUCAGUAGCUGGUCUGAGAGGAUGACCAGCCACACUGGGACUGAGACACGGCCCAGACUCCUACGGGAGGCAGCAGUGGGGAAUUUUCCGCAAUGGGCGAAAGCCUGACGGAGCAAUACCGCGUGAGGGAAGAAGGCUCUUGGGUUGUAAACCUCUUUUCUUAGGGAAGAACAAAAUGACGGUACCUAAGGAAUCAGCAUCGGCUAACUCCGUG
rnacentral:rRNA from 1 species